GAGGAUAUAGUUCAGUGGUAGAGUGUGUGCUUGGCAUGCAUGAGGUCCUGGGUUCAAUCCUCAGUACCCCA
rnacentral:tRNA from 1 species